ACGUGGUGAUAUUCAAGUAGACUCAGGGAAGGAGUCCGGGAGGCUAUAAAAGCAAGAAGUCAAACAAGCCAUGGCUCUCAGCAGAGGAGGUUUUAAAGAAAUAUUUCAACCAAGACACAACUUCAAAAGAGAGUUUCUGAUGGCAAUAAGAGAACGUUCUUCUACGCUUUCCUUUAAAAAGGUAUUUCAGGGCUUCCCUGGUGGCGCAGUGGUUAGGAGUCCACCUGCCAACGCGGGGGACACAGGUUCGAGCCCUGGUCCAGGAAGAUCCCACAUGCCACGGAGCAACUAAGCCCAUGCACCACUACUACUGAGCCUGCGUGCCACAACUACUGAAGCCAGUGCACCUAGAGCCCGUGCUCCGCAACGAGAAGCCACCGCAAUGAGAAGCCC